GGUUCCAUAGUGUAGUGGUUAGGACAUCUGCUUUACAUGCAGAAGGUCCUGGAUUUGCACCCCAGUGGAGCAA
rnacentral:tRNA from 1 species